UGAACGCUAGCGACAGCUAACACAUGCAAGUCGAGGGGUAACAGGGUAGCAAUACCGCUGACGACCGGCGCACGGGUGAGUAACGCGUAUGCAACCUGCCUAUAACUGGGGAAUAGCUCCCUGAAAGGGGGAAUUAACACCGCAUAACACUAUUGAUUCGCAUGGAUUGGUAGUUAAAUGUAGCGAUACAGGUUAUAGAUGGGCAUGCGUGACAUUAGCUAGUUGGUGAGGUAACGGCUCACCAAGGCUACGAUGUCUAGGGGUUCUGAGAGGAAGGUCCCCCACACUGGUACUGAGACACGGACCAGACUCCUACGGGAGGCAGCAGUGAGGAAUAUUGGUCAAUGGGCGCAAGCCUGAACCAGCCAUGUCGCGUGCAGGAAGACUCGCCCUAUGGGUUGUGAACUGCUUUUAUAGUAGAAGAAACACAUCUACGCGUAGAUGUCUGCCAGUAUACUAUGAAUAAGCAUCGGCUAACUCCGUGCCAGCCGCCGC
rnacentral:rRNA from 1 species